rnacentral:tRNA from 1 species
UCGCUGGUGGUCUAGUGGUUAGGAUUCAGCGCUUUCACUGCUGAGAACCAGGUUCAAUCCUUGGUCUGGAAA